GACGAAGGAUGCAAGCGUUAUCCGGAUUUAUUGGGUUUAAAGGGCGCGUAGGUGGCCUUAUAAGUCAGCGGUGAAAGACUAGAGCUUAACUCUGGAAUUGCCAUUGAUACUGUAGGGCUUGAGUAUAGUUGCUGCGGGCGGAAUAUGACAUGUAGUGGUGAAAUACUUAGAGAUGUCAUAGAACACCUAUUGCGAAGGCAGCUCACAAAACUAUAACUGACACUGAGGCUCGAAAGUGCGGGGAUCAAACAGG
rnacentral:rRNA from 1 species